UUGUUUCUCCAGCAAAAGCAGAAGCACAAGAGCUGGAAUUUUCCCCUGGGCCUCUACACCAAUGCAAUUUCACAGGGAAAGUGGACUAAAGGAUAUCAAUGCACAGCCAUUCUGGAGAUUUUCCUGGGUGCACUGGAUCAUUUAGACAGGACAAUUCUGACCUCAAGGUUUGAAAUCCUUAGAAAGACUGACACAGGAGGAACACGAGAGACACAGCAGAGAAUAAAUGCACAGAUUUGAAAUGCAAUGGGUUUUUAAGUUGUGAGUCAUUUCAUCAGUGAAAAGAUCUACCAAAAGGAUUGGAAGUUGCCUCAACCAAUUAAAACUGAAUACAGGCUCUUGAGCCACCUAUAGAAAGAUCAUUGGAGAAUCAAGGAAGAGUGCUGAUAGCCUGGAAAAAUGUGACUAUGAGAUGGAGAAUUCUUUCUUGAUGCAACAUAUCAUUAAAUGAUUUGAGUUGAAUAAUUGGGUGAUUUUCUGA